rnacentral:rRNA from 1 species
UACGUAGGGUGCAAGCGUUGUCCGGAAUUAUUGGGCGUAAAGAGCUCGUAGGCGGUUUGUUGCGUCGGCUGUGAAAUCCCGAGGCUCAACCUCGGGUCUGCAGUCGAUACGAGCAAACUAGAGUGUUGCAGGGGAGACUGGAAUUCCUGGUGUAGCGGUGAAAUGCGCAGAUAUCAGGAGGAACACCGGGUGGGCGAAGGCGGGUCUCUGGGCAACAACGUGACGCUGGAGGAGCGAAAGCGUCGGGGGAGCGAACAGG